UACGUAGGGGGCCAGCGUUGUCCGGAUUUAUUGGGCGUAAAGAGCGCGUAGGCGGCCAUACAGGUCAGCUGUGAAAACUCGAGGCUCAACCUCGAGACGUCGGUUGAAACCGUAUGGCUAGAGUCCGGAAGAGGAGAGUGGAAUUCCCGGUGUAGCGGUGAAAUGCGCAGAUAUCGGGAAGAACACCCGUGGCGAAGGCGGCUCUCUGGGACGGUACUGACGCUGAGACGCGAAAGCGUGGGGAGCGAACAGG
rnacentral:rRNA from 1 species